rnacentral:tRNA from 1 species
AGAGGAGUGGUGUAACGGUCAGCACGCAGGGUUCUAACCCCUGAGCAGGUGACACCCUGCGUCGGUCUGGGUUCGAGUCCCGGCUCCUCCGCCA